UGGGGAAUAUUGCACAAUGGGCGCAAGCCUGAUGCAGCCAUGCCGCGUGUGUGAAGAAGGCCUUCGGGUUGUAAAGCACUUUCAGCGGGGAGGAAGGCGUUAAGGUUAAUAACCUUGGCGAUUGACGUUACCGACAGAAGAAGCACCGGCUCACUCCGUGCCAGCAGCCGCGGUAAUACGGAGGGUGCAAGCGUUAAUCGGAAUUACUGGGCGUAAAGCGCACGCAGGCGGUUGAUUGAGUCAGAUGUGAAAUCCCCGGGCUUAACCCGGGAAUUGCAUCUGAUACUGGUCAGCUAGAGUUUUGUAGAGGGGGGUAGAAUUCCAUGUGUAGCGGUGAAAUGCGUAGAGAUGUGGAGGAAUACCGGUGGCGAAGGCGGCCCCCUGGACAAAGACUGACGCUCAGGUGCGAAAGCGUGGGGAGCAAACAGG
rnacentral:rRNA from 1 species